AAAAUGCGAUACGUAGUGCGAUCUGCAUGAACCUGUGAGUCAUCUAAUUUUUGAACGCAACUUGCGCCGAGCAAUCGGCAUGUCUGUCUGAGUGUGUAACUAUCUAUACGAUUAUUUUCGUGAUGUGGUGCGAGUGUUUGGGGUUGGGGAUUGCAACAUAUUCUCAACGCUCAAGCACUGCACUGAAUGAUAGCUAGAAGACGCAAAGAAUGUCUAGUUCAGGUGCCAAGCAUCCCAGAACAAAACAUGCUCUGUAUUUAAAAUUUAUUCCAACACCUCAGAUCAGUCAAGAUCACCCGCUGAACUUAA
rnacentral:misc_RNA from 1 species